GGGGAGUGACGUCAAAUCAUCAUGCCCUUAUGACCUGGGCUACACACGUGCUACAAUGGUUGGUACAACGAGUUGCGAGUCGGUGACGGCGAGCUAAUCUCUUAAAGCCAAUCUCAGUUCGGAUUGUAGGCUGCAACUCGCCUACAUGAAGUCGGAAUCGCUAGUAAUCGCGGAUCAGCACGCCGCGGUGAAUACGUUCCCGGGCCUU
rnacentral:rRNA from 1 species